rnacentral:tmRNA from 1 species
UCGAGCUGGCUGCUGGCGCCCCUGUUCGUCGGGACGUCGGGAGUGAGAACCAACGACGAACUACGCGCGUAGAGGCUCUGUUCGAAGCAUCUUGGGACGCGGGUUCAAUUCCCGCCGCCUCCACCA